AUUGAACGCUGGCGGCAGGCCUAACACAUGCAAGUCGAACGAGUGGCGGACGGGUGAGUAAUGUCUGGGAAACUGCCCGAUGGAUGGGGAUAACUACUGGAAACGGUAGCUACUACCGCAUACCAUCGGAUGUGCCCAGAUGGGAUUAGCUUGUAGGUGAGGUAACGGGUCACCUAGGCGACGAUCCAUAGCUGGUCUGAGAGGAUGACCAGCCACAGUGGAAUUGAGACACGGUCCAGACUCCUACGGGAGGCAGCAGUGGGGAAUAUGGCACAAUGGGCGCAAGUUGGAUGCAGGCAUGCCGGGGGUAUGAGGAAGGCGUUCGAGUUGUAAAGUACGUUCAGCGGGGAGGCGUUACCCGAAGAAGAAGCACAGGCUAACUCCGUGCCAGCAGCCGCGGUAAUUC
rnacentral:rRNA from 1 species